rnacentral:rRNA from 1 species
AUUGAACGCUGGCGGCAGGCCUAACACAUGCAAGUCGAACGAGUGGCGGACGGGUGAGUAAUGUCUGGGAAACUGCCUGAUGGAGGGGGAUAACUACUGGAAACGGUAGCUAAUACCGCAUACCAUCGGUUGUCCCCAGAUGGGAUUAGCUAGUAGGUGGGGUAACGGCUCACCUAGGCGACGAUCCCUAGCUGGUCUGAGCGGAUGACCAGCCACACUGGAACUGAGACACGGUCCAGACUCCGACGGGAGGCAGCAGUGGGGAAUAUGGCACAAUGGGCGCAAGCCGGAUGCAGCCAUGCCGCGGGUAUGAAGAAGGCCUUCGGGUUGUAAAGUACUUUCAGCGAGGAGGCGUUACUCGAAGAAGAAGCACCGGCUAACUCCGUGCCAGCAGCCGCGGUAAUAC